UAUGCGUGUUCUACGCGUUUUGAUAAUGAUGUGACAAUUUUACUUAAAAAUACUACUGGAAGUGAGAAUGAGUAGUGAACCGCAUUUAAACAUUAAGAGGCCCGUAAUGCAGCCCACGGAUAACAGGUUGUACAUCCUUGGUUUAUGCUAUCUCAGAAAAUGGUGGAAUCAUUUUUGAACAAUUCAAUUUUUACUUGUUUAAACAUGUACUCAGAUAUUUCAGAAUCCAUUAUUUUGUGUUUAACAGCAAGUUAAUACUUGUAUUGUAACUAUAUUAGACAGUACAGACUCAAACAUCAUUUUUCUGUUCGGUAGGAUAGUUUUGAAACUUUGUUGGGAUCCAUUUUGAUACCAGGAGUGUGGGAAGGUAGGUUUUAUACCAACGUUGUUUCAGGGUGUAUUUACCAUAGCAUUAUUCCCCCGAAGAAAUACUGAGCGCGCUCGCUCUUGCGAUUCCGCUAAGUUACUAAUUUUGGUUCUACACUUCCGCUCCCGCUCAUUUUUGAAGGUAAUAGCGCACUCUCGCUCAAAAUAAAAAUGAGAGGCACUCAUUUUUUCGCUCGUAUAGGUGUAUUUCAAUUUGGCAACUAGUUAUAAUUGCAAUUUAAUUCAAUAUAUUGCAAUAUUAAGUGUGCUGUUCGAUUUGUGACAACCAUACAUUAUUUGCAAUUGCUUAUCAUAAUAAAAUAAUUUGUUUAAUUAAUAUAGGUAUAUCCAGAAAUUUUUAUUUGUGUUUUGGUGUGCCUGGGGAACCACAUGUAUUAACAAGAUUUCGUGUACUAUCAUCCAGUUAAGCCUGAUAAUUAACUUGAGCUUGAACAAAGGUUUCUCAAGUUUUGGAACUUGUGCUCGAGGAAAAUCGGUUAACAAAAAAUUAAAGACUUAUCUUCUAACGGUAUCUCCACACAGGAAGGAGCUGGUGGUGUCUCUGAGGGAACCCAUAUCAGAGCCUUCUGAAACUACCAGUUACAUAACAGGCAAACUGGUAAACCGAAAAAAGCAGAGAGUCACAAAUACAGCAUGGAAAAAAAUAUUUUAGCUUAUCUUGAUACAUAAAUUCACCGUCUAUUCUUGCAAUCUUUAAAAUUAAUCUCACAUGAGUUAGAAACAGAAAAAGUAAUAGAAACUUAUAUUAAUGAGCGACAAUUCGAGGAAUUUUAUCGCUCUUCUAAAAAUGAUGAGCGCUUAGUACUGGUGAUCCUUUUUUUUUUCUUUUAUUUAUUUUGUAACUAUUCUUAAUUUGAAAAUUUCGAUAUGGCCGCUUAAUUUGAUGACACACUUAAAGCAGGUAGCCGUUAGAUCAAAUUUUACUAUACAUACAAAUAUACAGAGCUAGUUUUAAGAGAGGACAUUUGGAACGCUUUCUCUAGAUCCUGUGUACG
rnacentral:lncRNA from 1 species